GAGCUCGUAGGCGGUUUGUCGCGUCUGCCGUGAAAGUCCGGGGCUCAACUCCGGAUCUGCGGUGGGUACGGGCAGACUAGAGUGAUGUAGGGGAGACUGGAAUUCCUGGUGUAGCGGUGAAAUGCGCAGAUAUCAGGAGGAACACCGAUGGCGAAGGCAGGUCUCUGGGCAUUAACUGACGCUGAGGAGCGAAAGCAUGGGGAGCGAACAGGAUUAGAUACCCUGGUAGUCCAUGCCGUAAACGUUGGGCACUAGGUGUGGGGGACAUUCCACGUUUUCCGCGCCGUAGCUAACGCAUUAAGUGCCCCGCCUGGGGAGUACGGCCGCAAGGCUAAAACUCAAAGGAAUUGACGGGGGCCCGCACAAGCGGCGGAGCAUGCGGAUUAAUUCGAUGCAACGCGAAGAACCUUACCAAGGCUUGACAUGAACUAGUAAGGCCUAGAGAUAGGUCCCCCACUUGUGGCUGGUUUACAGGUGGUGCAUGGUUGUCGUCAGCUCGUGUCGUGAGAUGUUGGGUUAAGUCCCGCAACGAGCGCAACCCUCGUUCUAUGUUGCCAGCGCGUUAUGGCGGGGACUCAUAGGAGACUGCCGGGGUCAACUCGGAGGAAGGUGGGGACGACGUCAAAUCAUCAUGCCCCUUAUGUCUUGGGCUUCACGCAUGCUACAAUGGCCGGUACAAAGGGUUGCGAUACUGUGAGGUGGAGCUAAUCCCAAAAAGCCGGUCUCAGUUCGGAUUGGGGUCUGCAACUCGACCCCAUGAAGUCGGAGUCGCUAGUAAUCGCAGAUCAGCAACGCUGCGGUG
rnacentral:rRNA from 1 species